rnacentral:rRNA from 1 species
CCUACGGGUGGCAGCAGUGGGGAAUAUUGCACAAUGGGGGAAACCCUGAUGCAGCGACGCCGCGUGAGUGAAGAAGUAUUUCGGUAUGUAAAGCUCUAUCAGCAGGAACGAGACAAGACGGUACCUGACUAAGAAGCCCCGGCUAACUACGUGCCAGCAGCCGCGGUAAUACGUAGGGGGCAAGCGUUAUCCGGAAUCACUGGGUGUAAAGGGAGCGUAGACGGCUGAGCAAGCCUGAAGUGAAAGGCGGGGGGCCCAACCCCUGGACUGCUUUGGGAACUGUACGGCUGGAGUGCAGGAGAGGUAAGUGGAAUUCCUAGUGUAGCGGUGAAAUGCGUAGAUAUUAGGAGGAACACCAGUGGCGAAGGCGGCUUACUGGACUGUAACUGACGUUGAGGCUCGAAAGCGUGGGGAGCAAACAGGAUUAGAUACCCUGGUAGUC